GUGGCGGCAGCGGGGCGCGGCGCGCUCCCCGCCACGCCGCACAUCAAGGCCCGGCCGGCCGGCGGGCGCCUUCAUUAGCAGCCUGAAAUUAUAAUAUUAUGUUAAAGAACAAAGCUGCUCCCCGGAAAAAUAUGUGCUGCAUAUCUGACAAAGAUAAAUUGGAUUAUUCAAAAUAUUCCUGAUGAAAUGUUACAUUUUGCAACUAAUUAUCAAUCUGUUUUAUCUGCAGACCAGCUGGGCAUUUUUUGUGCAUGCGAGGCCUGCCUCCGCAAUGAUCUUAAGAUGUCACCGUAGCGUUUACAUCUUUUAUUUCAAGAUUUAAAUAACUAGGAAGUAGCUAAUGUAAUUCACUGCUGAGAAGAAAGGCGAGUUCCUUGAUUCCUUUCCAAAGCGAUCUCCUCCUAAUGAACUUCUUUGGACUCGACUGAUAGAAGGGCAUCCCCACGGCGAAGCAAUCUUAGAUCUUCAGCCAGAGCGGACCCUUUGGCGACAGUGGACGGAGAAGGCAGCGCGGGGCUUCGUGCCCAUUGUACAGACGACAAAGCUGAGGCUCAAGGAAGUAGAAGCAGUGACUUGCUCGAAGGUACCCUGGGAGGUAGGGUGGGUGCAGGGCUUGUAAGCCUCUGCACAGCCCCCCACCCCCCCCACCCCCCGGGCUCCGACACACACAUUCUAAGCGCUCCACUUAGAUGGAUGAAAGAUGAAUUUAUAAUUGAUGGGAGGAACACGUGGGAACCUGUCAGGAUGUGGAUUUCCCUUCUCAGUUGAGAGGUCUUCAAAGUGGUUAUGAGGGAGCAUGCCAAGGAAAAUCAAGCAGCCAUUUUCCCCACUAAAAAUGACAGAACGUACAUUCUUCUUGCUUUUCUCAUUGAUUUCAUUCUGACUGCUUUUCCAUAAAAUUAUCCCCAGACAGGUUCUCAGAGCUGUCACGAAGCCAUUUGAAAUUUUGCAUGAAGCACAUUUAUGUGUGCAUUUCUAUACCUAUCUAUAUAACUCCCCCCUCCCUUAUUUGGCUUGGUUAGAAAAUGUCUUUUGUUCAGACUGCAAAAGAAAAUUACACCUGAUCUAACUCCCUGCCUGAUUUGACUCCUGGGUAUUUUAUUUUGACGUUCCUAUAUUAAUAGUCAAAUUGGAGUGCUGAGAAACAUAAGGACUUAACACCGACUGGACCUCCUUAAGUCUGCGCUUUCUGGUGAGUCUCGCCUUCCGGUUUUCAAAUGCUUGUUUCUGCCAAGAUGCCUCUUUUGUGAGAAUCCAUGGUGGUCCUGGAUGUGGAGGUGCUGGGGACUCGAAGGGCUCAGAAGGGACCCCACUGGCCUUUGGGUUUUCCCAGUCAGUCUCCUGGGUCUUUUGCCCGAAGUGAAUUUUGGGCUUUCAUCAGAUGAUGG
rnacentral:lncRNA from 1 species